UACGAAGGGGGCUAGCGUUGCUCGGAAUCACUGGGCGUAAAGGGUGCGUAGGCGGGCCUUUAAGUCAGGGGUGAAAUCCUGGAGCUCAACUCCAGAACUGCCUUUGAUACUGAGGGUCUUGAGUUCGGGAGAGGUGAGUGGAACUGCGAGUGUAGAGGUGAAAUUCGUAGAUAUUCGCAAGAACACCAGUGGCGAAGGCGGCUCACUGGCCCGAUACUGACGCUGAGGCACGAAAGCGUGGGGAGCAAACAGG
rnacentral:rRNA from 1 species